rnacentral:siRNA from 1 species
GUUUACCUCCUACUGUGGUUGUCU